rnacentral:rRNA from 1 species
UACGUAGGUGGCAAGCGUUGUCCGGAUUUAUUGGGUUUAAAGGGUGCGUAGGCGGCCCUGUAAGUCAGUGCUGAAAUAUCCCGGCUUAACCGGGAGGGUGGCAUUGAUACUGCGGGGCUAGAGUACAGAUGAGGUAGGCGGAAUUGACGGUGUAGCGGUGAAAUGCUUAGAUAUCGUCAAGAACACCGAUAGUGUAGACAGCUUACUAAGCUUUAACUGACGCUGAGGCACGAAAGUGUGGGGAUCAAACAGG